rnacentral:rRNA from 1 species
GACGUAGGGCGCGAGCGUUGUCCGGAUUUAUUGGGCGUAAAGAGCUCGUAGGUGGUUUGUCGCGUUGUUCGUGAAAACUCACAGCUUAACUGUGGGCGUGCGGGCGAUACGGGCAGACUGGAGUACUGCAGGGGAGACUGGAAUUCCUGGUGUAGCGGUGGAAUGCGCAGAUAUCAGGAGGAACACCGGUGGCGAAGGCGGGUCUCUGGGCAGUAACUGACGCUGAGGAGCGAAAGCGUGGGGAGCGAACAGG